AGUGAACGCUGGCGGUAGGCCUAACACAUGCAAGUCGAACGGCAGCACAGUAAGAGCUUGCCCUUACGGGUGGCGAGUGGCGGACGGGUGAGGAAUACAUAGGAAUCUACUUUUUCGUGGGGGAUAACGUAGGGAAACUUCCGCUAAUACCGCAUAUGACCUACGGGUGAAAGCAGGGGAUCUUCGGACCUUGCGCGAUUGAAUGAGCUGAUGUCGGAUUAGCUAGUUGGCGGGGUAAAGGCCCACCAAGGCGACGAUACGUAGCUGGUCUGAGAGGAUGAUCGGCCACACUGGAACUGAGACACGGUCCAGACUCCUACGGGAGGCAGCAGUGGGGAAUAUUGGGCAAUGGGCGAAAGCCUGAUCCAGCCAUACCGCGUGAGUGAUGAAGGCCUUCGGGUUGUAAAGCCCUUUUAUUGGGAAAGAAAAGCAGCGGAUUAAUACCCCGCUGUUCUGACGGUACCCAAAGAAUAAGCACCGGCUAACUUCGUG
rnacentral:rRNA from 1 species